rnacentral:rRNA from 1 species
GGAUACGGCCAUACUGCGCAGAAAGCACCGCUUCCCAUUCGAACAGCGAAGUUAAGCUGCGCCAGGCGGUGUUAGUACUGGGGUGGGCGACCACCCGGGAAUCCACCGUGUCGUAUCCUCUU